rnacentral:rRNA from 1 species
CCUACGGGAGGCAGCAGUAGGGAAUCUUCCACAAUGGACGAAAGUCUGAUGGAGCAACGCCGCGUGAGUGAAGAAGGGUUUCGGCUCGUAAAGCCCUGUUGGUAGUGAAGAAAGAUAGUGGUAGUAACUGGCCUUUAUUUGACGGUAAUUACUUAGAAAGUCACGGCUAACUACGUGCCAGCAGCCGCGGUAAUACGUAGGUGGCAAGCGUUGUCCGGAUUUAUUGGGCGUAAAGCGAGUGCAGGCGGUUCAAUAAGCCUGAUGUGAAAGCCUUCGGCUCAACCGGAGAAUUGCAUCAGAAACUGUUGAACUUGAGUGCAGAAGAGGAGAGUGGAACGCCAUGUGUAGCGGUGGAAUGCGUAGAUAUAUGGAAGAACACCAGUGGCGAAGGCGGCUCUCUGGUCUGCAACUGACGCUGAGGCUCGAAAGCAUGGGUAGCGAACAGGAUUAGAUACCCGAGUAGUC